rnacentral:rRNA from 1 species
AUGGACGCCGAAUUGAGACAAGUCGCUAAUGGUUUUGACUAUAAGGUCCGUUCAUUUGACAAGGACGACAUCAACGGGUAUCGCUUUCGUACCUAUGGAAAAGAGCUAUCUAUGGCCGACCGUAAGUCUACAAAUUGUUGUGUAUAUGCUAUCGGCGAAGGAGGUACCGAGUAUUAUGGGAGAGUUGGAGCAAUUUAUGAACUUCUGUUCUAUGGUGAAAACCCACCGAAUGUCGUAGUCUUCAAAUGUUAUUGGUUUCAGCCGAAGGAGACUAGAAGGACUCAUGAACAUAUAUUGCUAGUUGAAAUCAACCAAAGCACUCAUUUAGAUGUUCCUGAUGUCUAUAUUAUGGCUCAACAGGCGACCCAAGUAUUCUAUCUACCAUUGGCCUGCCAAACUAAUCCAAAUCUGAAAGGUUGGGAUGUCGUUUAUGAAGUGCCGCCACGUGCUAUACUUUCUCCCCCAAAGGAAGAGGAUUAUGAACCUCACAUUAACCCAGACACAUAUGAAGGAGAAUUCUUCCAAGAGACACGUCUUUCCAAAAAGCGUUUCAAGAACCGCUAUACUUCACCCCAAAACAUUGAAGUAGAUAGCGACAAUGAAUCCGACAUCACCCUAGAGGAGGAACAAGAAGAGCCGGAACAAGAAGAGGUUACUGCUGCGGAUGACCUG